rnacentral:rRNA from 1 species
AGUGAACGCUGGCGGUAGGCCUAACACAUGCAAGUCGAACGGCCGCACAGUAAGAGCUUGCUCUUACGGGUGGCGAGUGGCGGACGGGUGACGAAUACAUCGGAAUCUACUUUUUCGUGGGGGAUAACGUAGGGAAACUUACGCUAAUACCGCAUACGACCUACGGGUGAAAGCAGGGGAUCUUCGGACCUUGCGCGAUUGAAUGAGACGAUGUCGGAUUAGCUAGUUGGCGGGGUAAAGGCCCACCAAGGCGACGAUCCGUAGCUGGUCUGAGAGGAUGAUCAGCCACACUGGAACUGAGACACGGUCCAGACUCCUACGGGAGGCAGCAGUGGGGAAUAUUGGACAAUGGGCGCAAGCCUGAUCCAGCCAUGCCGCGUGAGUGAAGAAGGCCUUCGGGUUGUAAAGCCCUUUUGUUGGGAAAGAAAAGCAGCAGGUUAAUACCCCGCUGUUCUGACGGUACCCAAAGAAUAAGCACCGGCUAACUUCGUG